rnacentral:lncRNA from 1 species
UUUUAAUGUUUCUGUGGGAAUGGUGGCAGUCUAACUAACAAGCAUGGCACAGUAGCUCUUUCAGUGCCAAGCUUGGACAUCUUUGCUUUAUGUUAAGCUCCCUAAAUUAGAACACAUCCAGUCAAGUGGACUGGAGAAGGUGUUGGGAUUCAGAUGUUCUCAGUCAGGACUCAUAACAUCUCCCUGCAUCUGCUUGCCCUGAGUUCUCCCAUUUCAGGAUCAGCGGGAUGAGUGUGGUGGAGCAGCUAUAGAGAAGAGUAUUCACAACGGCAAUUGUGACAUGGUCUCCCAUGCUUUUCCGUCACAGUAAGCAACAGGAUUUGGGCCAGUGUCUGUGUCUGAGUAAACAUUACCAUAUUGUCAUCCUGAUAUCAUCAUCCCACUAUAACUGAUGGUCAGAGGCUGAUGAGACUGGGCUAAACGUUUCCAUAAAGCCACCCGCUGUCUUCUGAAGCAUUUCCUGCAUAAAGUCCAGAUUAUUGCCGCUGAUCAAGAACUUGGAGGCUGCUGAUCAACAAGCUGUUGUUGGCUUCUGACAGAGAGGAGCAAAAGCAACCCACAAAAGGAAAUGAAUGCUUCUAGGAGAACUCAAAGCAAGCUGCAUGUUUCGUGUUCCCUGGGGGCCUCUCACUCAUGUACUGACCAAAUACAGAAUGAUUUAGCUGCAUCAAGAUUGCUGCACCACAAAUGUUCAGACUGUGCCCUGUGAAUUAAUUAACAUUAGGAAAGCACUCUGCAUGCCUGUGGUAAAGGUUACGUUUAAAUGUGUUCUUGCUGUAAAGUUGCUUGUUUUCUAGGGGCAAAACUUCAUCAACUGCUUGUAGCU